CAGGAUCUUCCAGAAACGAAGCUCCCCAUUUUGGUGCUCCCCACCCACGUCUCUCCGUGCCCCCCAGCUCCCAGGGAUGCUUGGGGAGGUCCUUCCUCACCCCUGUGGUCCCUUCCUGGCCGUGUGACCCCUCCGUGGCGGUCCCGGGGGGACGUACGGCUCGUUCCUGGGAAUCUGGCUGUCUCCAAGGCUGUGGGAUGUUCACUCAUGGGACUUCUUGCUGCAGGAUGCUCUGGAGGACAAACUGGGCUUCACCAGCUCGUGGAGAAGAGGUUUCCAGGGGAUUUUAAGCCUCGUGGUCUGGAUUCAGCCUCCAGCAUCCCUGUGCCAGGACGUGCUGAAAGCCAGCAAUGAGUUCUUAAAGCCAGGAAGAACAUCUCCUCACUCUUAUUUUGUGCUUGCAAGCUUCCACAUCUCCUCUUGGCCGCCUCCAGAGGUGUGGGAAUUGCUGAUCCCACCUGGAUGUCUCAUAAUAUUCCUCAUCAUGCAUCAGUUUGGUGUCCCCUGGUGAUGGGAGAGCAGCUGCUUCUUCCAUUCGCUGUCCGGAGGCAAAACUAACAACAAACAGCAAAGCUCAAAAUUUGGGUCAAUGUGAACUGUAUCUUUAUUAGGGGGGAAAAAAAAUAAAUAAUGUCUCAAGUUUCCCUUUUGGGUCAGCAGGUGUCAGAGGACCUGCCAGGAAAAACAUCUUGUUGAAAAGAAAUUAAUUUAUUUGUGGAAACCUCAUUUUGUUUUGAAGAAAUCAAAGGCAGGCACGUCAAGGUUUGGAAAGACUUUCAACUGAGCUUUUCUUUCGCUGUGUCAUGGAAAAAGAAAGCAGGAUUUCUGCUGGAAUUCUGUGAUCUGGGUCUGAAAGUGCCUGUGAGACCCAGAGGAGCUGCUUCUUCCCAGGGGAUGACCCCCCUGCAGAUGAUGCCUGGACGACCACACUUGGGGCUCCACCUCUUUGACCGUCCUAAGGUGAGGCCCAGCUUGCAGGGAAUAUGGGCUAGAUGUGCUGACUCUGAUGGGAUAAAGGUGGGACCCCUCUGCCCGUGGGUAACCCCAUAAACUUCACAGUCUGGAAGGAACAUGGAUCUGGAGGAGACCCAGGCCCAGGUCCUGGUGACGAUGUGACUGCUGAGAACAUGUCUCCUGGGGGGCCUCAAGAAGCAGAGAGAGGAAACAAAACCUUUCUUCUGCUCAUCUGCUUUGCU